rnacentral:rRNA from 1 species
GACGAACGCUGGCGGCGUGCUUAACACAUGCAAGUCGAACGGAAAGGCCCUGCUUUUGUGGGGUGCUCGAGUGGCGAACGGGUGAGUAACACGUGAGUAACCUGCCCUUGACUUUGGGAUAACUUCAGGAAACUGGGGCUAAUACCGGAUAGGAGCUCCUGCUGCAUGGUGGGGGUUGGAAAGUUUCGGCGGUUGGGGCUGGACUCGCGGCUUAUCAGCUUGUUGGUGGGGUAGUGGCUUACCAAGGCUUUGACGGGUAGCCGGCCUGAGAGGGUGAACGGCGACAAUGGGACUAAGAUACGGACCAGACGCCUACGGGAGGCAGCAGGGGGGAAUAUUGCAGAGUGGGCGGGAGUGUGAUGCAGAAAGGCCGCGUGCGGGAUGACGGCCUUCGGGUGGUAAACAGAUUUCGACGGUGACGAAGAGUGAGUGACGGUAAUGGGUAAAGAAGCAACGGCUAACUACGUG